AGAGUUUGAUCCUGGCUCAGGAUGAACGCUAGCGGGAGGCCUAACACAUGCAAGUCGAACGGGAUUGAGAGCUUGCUCUCAUGAGAGUGGCGCACGGGUGAGUAACGCGUAUGCAACCUACCUAUAACUGAGGGAUAGCCCAUAGAAAUGUGGAUUAAUACCUCAUAGUUCUUUUGUUCCGCAUGGGAUGAAAGAUAAAGCUCCGGCGGUUAUAGAUGGGCAUGCGUGACAUUAGCUAGUUGGUAAGGUAACGGCUUACCAAGGCUACGAUGUCUAGGGGUUCUGAGAGGAUGAUCCCCCACACUGGUACUGAGACACGGACCAGACUCCUACGGGAGGCAGCAGUGAGGAAUAUUGGUCAAUGGGCGCAAGCCUGAACCAGCCAUCCCGCGUGCAGGAUGAAGGCCCUAUG
rnacentral:rRNA from 1 species